rnacentral:rRNA from 1 species
AGCGAACGCUGGCGGCAGGCUUAACACAUGCAAGUCGAGCGCCCCGCCAGGGGAGCGGCAGACGGGAGAGUAACACGUGGGAACAUACCUUUUGGUUCGGAAUAACUGAGGGAAACUUCAGCUAAUACCGGAUAAGCCCUUACGGGGAAAGAUUUAUCGCCGAAAGAUUGGCCCGCGUCUGAUUAGCUAGUUGGUGAGGUAACGGCUCACCAAGGCGACGAUCAGUAGCUGGUCUGAGAGGAUGAUCAGCCUCACUGGGACUGAGACACGGCCCAGACUCCUACGGGAGGCAGCAGUGGGGAAUAUUGGACAAUGGGGGCAACCCUGAUGCAGCCAUGCCGCGUGAGUGAUGAAGGCCUUAGGGUUGUAAAGCUCUUUUGCCCGGGAAGAUAAUGACGGUACCGGGAGAAUAAGCCCCGGCUAACUUCGUG